rnacentral:rRNA from 1 species
UAUUGCGCAAUGGAGGCAACUCUGACGCAGUGACGCCGCGUAUAGGAAGAAGUUUUUCGGAAUGUAAACUAUUGUCGUUAGGGAAGAGAAAGGACAGUACCUAAGGAGGAAGCUCCGGCUAACUACGUUCCAGCAGCCGCGGUAAUACGGAGGGAGCGAGCGUUAUCCGGAAUUAUUGGGUGUAAAGGGUGCGUAGACGGGAAAACAAGUUAGUUGUGAAAACCCUCGGCUUAACUGAGGAACUGCAACUAAAACUAUUUUUCUUGAGUGCAGGAGAGGUAAGUGGAAUUCCUAGUGUAGCGGUGAAAUGCGUAGAUAUUAGGAGGAACACCAGUGGCGAAGGCGGCCUGCUGGACGAUGACUGACGUUGAGGCUCGAAAGCGUGGGGAGCAAACAGG